UCUAUAUAAAUUAUCUGUCUUUUUUUCCAGAGCCAAUCCAUAUAAAUUUUUACGUAAAAAAAAAGAAAAAUGUCUAGUAUGCAUACAAAAAGAUAUGCAGUGGUCAAAUUUUUAUCGGAUUCAACAUUCUCAGAAGUCCCAACAAAUUGGAUUACAAAACAUAAUGAUGUUUACCGUUGCUGGUGGCCACCACGAUCAUCAAACAAUGCAACAUUAAUUGCAAAUUGUGCAAAACUAAAGCAUGAUUUGUGGAACAAUUUUGAAAUAGAAGUUAUAAAGUAUUGCAACUCUCUUAAAUCUGCGCGAAGAAGUGCAGCAGAUUCGAAUUAUAGUACAGCAGAUAAGGAACGAUUGGUUCGAGGAAAAAGACCAUAUGUUCCUUAUCAGCCCUAUAGUUCUGACGAUGAACUUGAAAAUAUAAACAUUAAAAAAUCAAGAAAAACCGAACUCAAACAAAAGAUCUUUUACCCAUGCUACUAUGUCCUGACAAUUUGGGAUUUUAUAAAAGUACAGAAGACGUACGAAAUGAUAGACAGUAAAAGUAGCACAAGUAAAGACUAGCACAAGUAAAAAGAGUACAAGUCCACUACAUUAUUCUGCUUCUUAGUCAACUCGUCGUGCACAUCAAAACUACAAUUUUCAAGAAAAGAGAUAAAACGUAUAAUGGCAAUAUUUAAUAUAACAUAUUAAAAAAUAAUACUGAACAAUUAAAAAAACCCGAGGAUGCAAUCAGAAGCAAUGUAUUACAACAAUCGAUGGAAAACGAUAAUAGCUUUAUUGAGCAAUUUUUUCCUCUCAAGACAAUAGAAGAUAUUUAAAAAAUUGAAGAUAUUUUAAAGACUAAUGAAAAAGCGUUGACGCAAUUUAAAAAAUUUGUAUCGAAAAUUGAUGGAAACAAUCCGAGAGAUAAUAUCCAACGAAUUAUAAAAAACACUUUUACAAAUAAAUGUGCUAUAAGUUGUUCCUGGAAAGGAAGAAAAGACAAUUUUUGAAUCUGUGAUUUAAAAUUAAUAAAAAUAAUAAAAGGAGAAGUUACUUCACGUCACGUAACAUUCACACAGGCAGAAUUAGAAAACGUUAUGGCAGAAUGUAAGUUUACGUUUCGCAAAACAACGACAACAAAGAGAUAACAAGGAAAAUAUACCUGAAGAUAUGUAGACUGAUAUAAAGAAAAUGUACCUGAAGAUAUUUAGACUGAUACAAGGAAAAUGUACCUGAAGAUGUGAUACAAGGAAAAUGUAUUAUCUGAAUUUAAGUAGACUGAUAUUGUAAUUUACAAUUUAUAUUUCUGACAUUAUAUAUGUCUUAACGGGUUUCAUUCCUAU
rnacentral:misc_RNA from 1 species